rnacentral:rRNA from 1 species
GAGUUUGAUCCUGGCUCAGGACGAACGCUGGCGGCGUGCCUAAUACAUGCAAGUCGAGCGAGCUUGCCUAGAUGAUUUUAGUGCUUGCACUAAAUGAAACUAGAUACAAGCGAGCGGCGGACGGGUGAGUAACACGUGGGUAACCUGCCCAAGAGACUGGGAUAACACCUGGAAACAGAUGCUAAUACCGGAUAACAACACUAGACGCAUGUCUAGAGUUUGAAAGAUGGUUCUGCUAUCACUCUUGGAUGGACCUGCGGUGCAUUAGCUAGUUGGUAAGGUAACGGCUUACCAAGGCAAUGAUGCAUAGCCGAGUUGAGAGACUGAUCGGCCACAUUGGGACUGAGACACGGCCCAAACUCCUACGGGAGGCAGCAGUAGGGAAUCUUCCACAAUGGACGAAAGUCUGAUGGAGCAACGCCGCGUGAGUGAAGAAGGGUUUCGGCUCGUAAAGCUCUGUUGGUAGUGAAGAAAGAUAGAGGUAGUAACUGGCCUUUAUUUGACGGUAAUUACUUAGAAAGUCACGGCUAACUACGUGCCAGCAGCCGCGGUAAUACGUAGGUGGCAAGCGUUGUCCGGAUUUAUUGGGCGUAAAGCGAGUGCAGGCGGUUCAAUAAGUCUGAUGUGAAAGCCUUCGGCUNCACCGGAGAAUUGCAUCAGAAACUGUUGAACCUGAGUGCAAAAGAAGAGAGUGGAACUCCAUGUGUAGCGGUGGGAUGCGUAAAUAUAUGGGAAGACACCAGUGGCGAAGGCGGCUCUCU